CCCUUAGAUGUUCUGGGCUGCACGCGCGCUACACUGAUGCAUGCAACGAGUUUUCGACCUUGCCUGAAAAGGUUGGGUAAUCUGUUUAACAUGUGUCGUGAUGGGGAUAGACCAUUGCAAUUAUUGAUCUUCAACGAGGAAUUCCUAGUAAGCGCGAGUCAUCAGCUCGUGCUGAUUAUGUCCCUGCCCUUUGUACACACCGCCCGUCGCUGCCCGGAACUGAGCCGUUUCGAGAAAGCCGGGGACUGACGGCUUGUGGGUGCGCAAGCACUUCUUGCCGAUGGAAACCAGUUUAAUCGGUAUGGCUUGAACCGGGCAAAAGUCGUAACA
rnacentral:rRNA from 1 species